CAGGUCUGGCAGGGGCUCAGAGCCCAGCUUCCCUACCCGAGCCUGAGAGCGCCCUGUCCGCGCUCGCGCCGGCCCUCACUGCUGGAGACCAGGCUCUGUUCUGAGCGACACCUGCGUACCUGCUACUAGCUUCCACCUCUUGGUGCCGGUCUGCUUCUUGGGGUACACAGAAAGUCAAUUUCGUUUCAGUACCUGACGCACCCAGCAGCCACGGGGGUGAGGGCCUGCCUCACAGACGCCCAGAGGAGAGCAGCCACUCCGCCCGCCCGCCCAGACGGCCCAGCCGGCUCUAAAACAAGAUUUCAAGAACCAACCUGCUGCUCUGGCAAAUGCACCCACCAGGAAGAGCCUCCUCUGACACGUCUGGAGAGAAGGAACAGGCUAUUUGGCAACUGCUGAUUUGCCUGCUUUUUUGACAGCCUCGGCUAGCUUGGUUCCACUGUCCCCAAGACCAGUUGCCCCACUGCACCUGGCCUCGUCCCUGCAACUGCCGCCCUCCCCCCAGCAGCGUUCUUGCCUCCUGCUGCGACUGCAGGCCUUCAACACAGCGCAAGCCCACAGCCUCUCAAAGACUGCCCUGGGGGCCCUGUCAGCUCUCCUCUCUACCCUGCAUGUUUACCUAAAAGAAGAAAGGGUCCUGGGUCCUGGUUUAAGUAAAACUGUUCUUUCUAUAGCCUUAAAUAAUUUUCUCUCCAAGUUCGAUGAAAGUAAUGACUAUGGAACUUAUUCACAGAAUCAGCUAAUCCCAUCUGUUUUAUAGUUUGUCCUGCAAAAAAUCUGUGAUAAAUAUAUGUAGAGACUAGGACUUCCCUAAAGAUCCUGCAUGCUGCAACAAAGAUCCAGCACAGCCAAAUAAAUAAAUACUUUUUAAGAAUUUCUGUA